CAGAGAUGUGGAUUCCAUAUGGUGAGGUUGAGACCAGGAAUCUUUAUUUCCAGCAAAUCCCAGGGGCUUUUGGUGCCCUUGGGGAACCCACUUUGAGAACCAGCCUAUGGCCAGCCGCCCCUCUGGGGACCAUGAGCUGGCCUGGCUCCUGUGCUUCUUGCUUAGCACAAAGCAUCACUGACUCUGUAAAUACCCACAGCCGAAGGGGCAAUGGCCAAGGGCCGGGCCUCGAGGUCUCCUGUGGUGGAGCUGUGCUGAUGUGGGACUGAGCCUUGGUUGGUUUAGGGUCCUUAGUUUUUUGUGUGAUGUUUCUGAGCUUUCGUUAGGGCUUUUCUGUUUGUCUGUGGAGGCUUUAUUCACAGGAAAUAUUAUUUAAGGCUAGUUUUUUAAAAUGUAAAUACAGUUUAUUGAAGUUACACCUUUAAAACCUGUCUGUUUUAAGCUUUUAGGUUAAAACUAAAGAUCAUAUUAUUAUGGUUAAAAAUAUAAUAAGAACAGGAGUUCCCGUUGUGGCUUAGCGGUUAGCAAACCCGUCUAGCAUUCAUGAGGACGCGGGUUUGAUCUCUGGCCUUGCUCAUGGGUUAAGGAUCCGGCGUUGCUGGGACUGUGGCGUAGGCCGGUGGCUAUAGUUCCGAUUGGACUCUGUUGCUGUGGGUGUGGCCCUAAAAGACUGUGUGUGUAUAUAUAUAUAUAUAUAUAUACACACACACAUAUAAAAUAAGAACAUUCAGCUUCCCCGUCUCUUUGAUUAAUGUUUGAUUAUCUCAGAUUGAACAGAUUAAAUGCCGUUAAACAACAACCAGUUCCAUUUCUGCUUUUAGUUAAUUAAAUUCCCUUGAACCUUUGAAAAUGACACUUAUAAAUGUGGUGUAUUUUCCUUUUCCUUUAAAGCAAUUUGAAUGCCUGACAUCAUAUAACAGAAAUCCUCCAAAGUGCUUAAAAAAUUCUAGUGUGUCUUAUUACACCAAAUCUUAAAUUCUCUGAAGCAUUUCAGUAUUGUUUGCAAAUGUUUUACAUUCUCUGACAGGGUCCAAUUUUAAAUCACAAAUUUAGAAUCAACCCUUGAUUAUAUGUGUUAAAAUGGAAUCAGGGGAUUAAUCUGGCAGAGUCUUCAUUACACUGACUUUUCUCAACGGUUUUCUUCUGUAAAGACCAAGCCUUUGUGGAGUUCCCUGGUGGCUCAGCAGGUUAAGGAUCCGGCGUUGUCAUUGCUAUGGCUCAGGUCACUGCUGUGGUAUGGGUUCGAUCUCUGGCCUGGGAACUUCAGUAUGCUAUGGGCGCAGCCAAAAAAAAAGAACAAACCUCUAUAAAUGAUUCCUGAACAUAGCAUAAAGUACCCAUUCUCUGUGUCUGAUUUAUUCCGAAAUCUCUACGUUGGAUCCUAAUCCUUUCUGGGGUUAAAAGAUGUUGGCUCUGGGAGUUCCCAUUGUGGCUCGGUGGUUAACGAAUCUGACUAGGAACCAUGAGGUUGCGGGUUCGAUCCCUGGCCUCACUCAGUGGGUUAAGGAUCUGGCGUUGCCAUGAGCCGUGGUGUGGGUCGUAGACGGGGCUUGGAUCCUGUGCUGCUGUGCUGUGGCAUAGGCCAGCGGCUACAGCUUCGAUUAGACCCCUAGAAAAAAAAAGGCCAAAAAAAAGAUGUUGGCUCUGAAACAAGAGUCAGAGUACUAAGAAAGUGGCAGUGGCCCUGAGGAAGGGGUUGGGGAGCCUGGCUGCUGCCCUCUGACCCUGGGGCUGGGUAGGGGGCCCAGAGGGCCCAAUGGAUGAGCACCUGGGGGGAGGUCCUUCCCUGGAAAGGAUGACGCAGGGUGUCCACCCAGGGAGGGGCAGGGGAGAAGCACCCCCAUGGCCCUCUCCCUCCCUUUCUCUUUCCAAACCAAACCCAGCUGGGAGCCCAAGAGCUGGAGGGGACCCCCCCACACACACUGGAGGGGCAAACCAGGUGGCUUGCCAACACAGCUAGAUGGCAACUUCGGGCCACAGGGGCCGGGAGGAGGGAUUGAGGGCCGGGCCUCCUGCUGUGGCUCAAGUCAAGGGUUGUGCAGCAUUAGGCAGAAGCCAGCUUGGAGGAGCCGACAAGGGAGGGAAGAAGAGGGUGGACGUCACCCCAAGAGAGAAGAGGCCAGGUUUGGGGGAGGCGGAGGAGGGCGCACAACCGCUUCCUGAGAGCAGAGAAAUGAGUCUGGCAUCCAGCCACAAGCAUCCAACUUUGUUCUCCGAAUCCCUGACACCAGGAAGCUGGCUGUGUAAGGGUUGAGGUUAGGGCUGGGGUCCAUCCGAGACCCCUAACUUGGCAUGAGAGUUGGGGAGGCACAGGCCGGGGUGUCACCGAGUAGGCAGCCGGGAGAGGGCAAUGGCGAGACAGGCAGGUCUCCAUGUUGGUGUCACCUGGGAGCAUUCGGGGAGAUGUGGGGUUAUCCUCCUGGAGGAUUUUGCAUCAUGGAGCAGGGGAACGGAAGCUCCCCGAGGGAUCAUUUCUUGGAGAAGGGGCAGAAGCCAUUGCCAUGGUAACUAAUGGGUGGGGAGAAAAGGGCACCUGCACAUGAGGCCAGGAGACAAAGAAUAUGCAGGGGGACACCCCCAUCGCAACAUGCCCACUACGUGCAAUGGGCAUCCUGAGGUGAGGGCACGUCCAGAAGUGGGGUAGGUGUCCAGCACCCACGAGGGACAGCUAAGGCUGCGUGGGGGACACAGGUGCUGACAGUCGCAGUGGGAGGGCAGAGCUGGGGAGUCCCUGGGUCCUGACGGGUGGGCAGGCGGGGGUCCAGGUGUGGACACCCCUCUGCACCCAGCCCUGUGCUCCAUGAACACACGGUGAGCACUGCUACUUUGGGCCACUAGACGGUGCGGGAGGAGACCAGGAUGAUUCUCACCUGGGUGGAUUCUGACUGGUAAUUGCCCUGAUGAGGGGCUGGGAGGCCAGGGGUUAUGUUAGCAGGAAGACAGGACCCCCUCUGAGGUGUUUGAAGAAGGGGCGGCCAGCAAAAGGAGGCCAGGUGCCAGGCUGCAUUCUGGUUCAAGCUUCUGGCCUGAGUGUCCCCUUUAUAGGGGGGCAUCCGGGCUCUGUGCUGGGCAGCGUCCUCCCCACUGUAGGGGAGGGUCCUGGGGUUGGCACUGCUGAUGGGACAUCCGGGGCCAGUUUGCUGAUCGGGGUGUUGCAGGUGUAGGUGUAGGGAUGGCUAUGGAUUGGGAUAUAAAUAUGGAUGUAUCUAUAGAUACUGCUGUAGAUCUGAUAAGGAUAUGAAUAGACAGGCAUGCAGACAUCAAUUUAGAUGAU
rnacentral:lncRNA from 1 species